GACGUAGGGCGCGAGCGUUGUCCGGAUUUAUUGGGCGUAAAGAGCUCGUAGGCGGCUUGUUGCGUCGGCUGUGAAAACCCGCGGCUUAACCGUGGGCUUGCAGCCGAUACGGGCAGGCUAGAGUUCGGUAGGGGAGACUGGAAUUCCUGGUGUAGCGGUGAAAUGCGCAGAUAUCAGGAGGAACACCGGUGGCGAAGGCGGAUCUCUGGGCCUUACCUGACGCUGAGGCGCGAAAGCUAGGGGAGCGAACAGG
rnacentral:rRNA from 1 species